rnacentral:tRNA from 1 species
GGUAGCUCGUCAGGCUCAUAACCUGAAGGUCGUAGGUUCAAAUCCUACCCCCGCAA